rnacentral:misc_RNA from 1 species
GAUGAAGAACGCAGUGAAAUGCGAUAAGUAAUGCGAAUUGCAGAAUUCCGUGAAUCAUCGAAUCUUUGAACGCACAUUGCGCCCGCUGGUAUUCCGGCGGGCAUGCCUGUUCGAGCGUCAUUUCAACCCUCAAGCCCCCGGGUUUGGUGUUGGGGAUCGGCUCUGCCCUUCUGGGCGGUGCCGCCCCCGAAAUACAUUGGCGGUCUCGCUGCAGCCUCCAUUGCGUAGUAGCUAACACCUCGCAACUGGAACGCGGCGCGGCCAUGCCGUAAAACCCCAACUUCUGAAUGUUGACCUCGGAUCAGGUAGGAAUACCCGCUGAACUUAAGCAUAUCAAUAAGCGGAGGA